AGACCCGAAACCCGGUGAUCUAGCCAUGGGCAGGUUGAAGGUUGGGUAACACUAACUGGAGGACCGAACCGACUAAUGUUGAAAAAUUAGCGGAUGACCUGUGGCUGGGGGUGAAAGGCCAAUCAAACCGGGAGAUAGCUGGUUCUCCCCGAAAGCUAUUUAGGUAGCGCCUCGUGAAUUCAUCUCCGGGGGUAGAGCACUGUUUCGGCUAGGGGGCCAUCCCGGCUUACCAACCCGAUGCAAACUGCGAAUACCGGAGAAUGUUAUCACGGGAGACACACGGCGGGUGCUAACGUCCGUCGUGAAGAGGGAAACAACCCAGACCGCCAGCUAAGGUCCCAAAGUCAUGGUUAAGUGGGAAACGAUGUGGGAAGGCCCAGACAGCCAGGAUGUUGGCUUAGAAGCAGCCAUCAUUUAAAGAAAGCGUAAUAGCUCACUGGUCGAGUCGGCCUGCGCGGAAGAUGUAACGGGGCUAAACCAUGCACCGAAGCUGCGGCAGCGACACUCAGGUGUUGUUGGGUAGGGGAGCGUUCUGUAAGUCUGCGAAGGUGGCCUGUGAGGGUUGCUGGAGGUAUCAGAAGUGCGAAUGCUGACAUAAGUAACGAUAAAGCGGGUGAAAAGCCCGCUCGCCGGAAGACCAAGGGUUCCUGUCCAACGUUAA
rnacentral:rRNA from 1 species